rnacentral:tRNA from 1 species
GGCCUUGUGGCGCAACGGCUAGCGCGUUCGCCUCCAGUUCCUUAAAACAGAACCGUGCAAGCGAAAGGUUAUCCGUUCAAAUCGGGUCAGGGUCA